rnacentral:rRNA from 1 species
CCUACGGGUGGCAGCAGUGAGGAAUAUUGGUCAAUGGACGAGAGUCUGAACCAGCCAAGCAGCGUGAAGGAUGACUGCCCUAUGGGUUGUAAACUUCUUUUAUAUGGGAAUAAAAUGUUCCACGUGUGGGAUUUUGUAUGUACCAUAUGAAUAAGGAUCGGCUAACUCCGUGCCAGCAGCCGCGGUAAUACGGAGGAUCCGAGCGUUAUCCGGAUUUAUUGGGUUUAAAGGGAGCGUAGGUGGAUUGUUAAGUCAGUUGUGAAAGUUUGCGGCUCAACCGGAAAAUUGCAGUUGAAACUGGCAGUCUUGAGUACAGUAGAGGUGGGCGGAAUGCGUGGUGUAGCGGUGAAAUGCUUAGAUAUCACGAAGAACUCCGAUUGCGAAGGCAGUUCACUGGACUGCAACUGACACUGAGGCUCGAAAGUGUGGGUAUCAAACAGGAUUAGAUACCCUUGUAGUC